rnacentral:rRNA from 1 species
CCUACGGGAGGCAGCAGUGGGGGAUAUUGCACAAUGGGGGGAACCCUGAUGCAGCGACGCCGCGUGGGUGAAGGAGCGUUUCGGCUCGUAAAGUCCUAUCGGCAGGGAAGAAGGAGUUCGGUACCUGACUAAGAAGCCCCGGCUAACCACGUGCCAGCAGCCGCGGUAAUACGUAGGGGGCAAGCGUUAUUCGGUUUUACUGGGUGUAAAGGUGUCGCAGACGGCAGCGCAAGCCAGGAGUGAAAGCCCGGGGCCCAACCCCGGGACUGCUCUUGGAACUGCGCGGCUGGAGUGCAGGAGGGGCAGGCAGAAUUCCUGGUGUAGCGGUGAAAUGCGUAGAGAUCAGGAGGAACACCGGUGGCGAAGGCGGCCUGCUGGACUGCGACUGACGUUGAGGGCCGAAAGCGUGGGGAGCAAACAGGAUUAGAUACCCUGGUAGUC